GACGAACCGUGCGAACGUUAUUCGGAAUCACUGGGCUUAAAGGGCGCGUAGACGGGUCGGCGCAUCGGACGCUGAAAUCCCCCGGCUCAACCGGGGAACAGGCGCCGAGAUGGCGGGCCUCGGGUGGAGGAGGGGGACCUGGAACGGCCGGUGGAGAGGUGAAAUUCGUAGAUAUUCGGAGGAACACCAGUGGCGAAGGCGGCUCACUGGUCCAUUACUGACGCUGAGGUGCGAAAGCGUGGGGAGCAAACAGG
rnacentral:rRNA from 1 species